CCAACUGAGCAUGGAGCAUGACAGCGGGAAGUUGAAGACAAAUGUGUUUGGGAGAACUGUUUCCGGGCAGGUGUGUUUUUGGCAUUUCCUCAAAGUUGCCCUUGAUUCCUGAGUCUCCCGGUGGCCAAGGUUUGGUACAGCUGCUGAGAAGGGGAUUGCUGACUUAUUUUGCCUGAGUUACUCAGCGAUAUGCAGUUUGUGGAAACUUGGCCUACAAGUGACCGUGGCUGUCUUUACAAGGUCCAGGGCUACAGGUGGCAGGAACGGAAAGCAAAAGCCACAGUAUGGUCACUUCCUGCUCUGCCUCCUCGGGCGAAGCCAGAAGGUUGUCCCCUCUGGGCUGCCCACCCUCCUCUGCAACGGACUGUCUCCACCUUUGUUGAACUUUCCCAUCCAACUUAGCCCCCCAGUCCUCUCUGUCACAUGUCUGCCUGCACAGUCCAGUCAUCCUAUCCUCAGCCCUCUGGGUUGGCCUGAGACAGAACCCGGCUGCCCAGCUUGUUUACUGUCCCAACUUCCUCUCAUGGGGAAGAACAAAUUAGGUAUUUAUUGACACAAGGAGAGGCUGUGGCUAAAAGCACA